rnacentral:pre_miRNA from 1 species
AGAGAAAGCAUCCAAAGGGAUCGCAUUGAUCCUAAUUAAGCUGAUUUAUUCCCCAAUAUUACUCAUUCGAAAGUUGGAGAAAAAAAGAAAAACAAAUUCCAAACAUUUGCUUUCUUUUCCGGAUCAUGCGAUCUCUUUGGAUUCAUUCUU